UUUAUAUUUAAAUAUUUAUUUUUUAGGGUAUGGUGCUUAUAAUGCUGAGCUAUUAUUAAUCAAUAAGGGACAUAUAUUAUGCAAAAGGUUCCGUCAAUGGGUCCAUAUGUUCUAAAGUUACUAAUCUUUUAGAACCUAUCAGCCAAACUAAUGUGGUAGAAAUAUCUUAGAGGUACCUAUGGAAAUAGCUGAUGAGAAAUCCUCAUAUGCUUUAAAUCAAAAAGAUAUUUCAGAAAAUACCUCAUCAUAUAAGAUGGAAAUUUCCAUAUAAGAAAAUAAUUGCUAUAAUAAAAAAUUCCAACAAUCAAAUAGAUAUUGAAAAAGUACCAUUACAAAUUGUACCUAAUGCCUCAAGGAAAAAGGAAUCUGCUAAGAAACGUCUUGAAAAAAGAAGGUUUUCAUUAAAAAGUUUAAAUGUUCAUCGUUCCAUUGAGUUGACACCAAAGCCAAAAAAAUUAUAUACCAAAUUAACAUCUUGGAGGAGUAAAAUAUAUGGAAUGGAAAAAAAAAUUAAAUCUUACAAAGAGAGAAUAGGUAUUGCCGAAAAAUAUGUCAAUUCCACAGAUUUUAAAAACCUCUUAAAACAUAUUAAUAGUCCCACUUACAAGUUCAUUAUAAAAUGAUGUAUAUUAUUAUAUCUAUCUUCACCAAUAAUAAAUUAUUAUUCGUGAAAUCACAGAAACGUACAUGUAUCAGAGACAACUGUUUUUUUCUGCAUGUAUGUUAUUUGGUAGUAUGUUAUGUAUUUGGCAUAGACAUAAUGCAAAAUAGGCAAUGCUUGCAAAAGGUCGCCAUUGUCGCCAAGAAAUGAUAAGUCGAAA